rnacentral:lncRNA from 1 species
GUCUCAGAUAUGGGUAUUACAGAGGUGAGCAAGAUUCUACAAGGGGCCCCCCAUCUCUGUAGUUUACACCCUAAUGAGAGGGUGUAACAAACAACAAACAAGUCAACCAGUAUAUAAAUAGAAUCAUUUCAGAUCAAGAAAAAUGCUGGCUGCACAGAAAAUAAAACAGGGUAAUGGAAAAUCCAGUGAUACGCCAAGUUCUCUAAGUCCUCUGAAUCUCCCUGGAGCUGGAAGUGAGAUGGAAGAGAAGAAUGCCACUAGUGACAGAUGUUGGAGCAUCUGUUUCCAUGGCAAGGCAACUGCUGGAACUGAACUCUGCUCUGAAAACUAGCCAUACUCCCAGCAUGCCUGUGUUUGGGGUCCUAGAAGUUGGUAGCUUUCCUCAAAGGAUCAUGUACUUCAAGAUCCUGUUAAUUGAUUGAAAAAGGCAUUCCAGAAUAUCCAGUCUGAGUGUAAGAACCCUGUGGACUCUUCUCCCCGGGCACCUCUUCUGUAGGAGCCGAUCUGCCCCAUUGAGGACCUUUCAUCUGCACAAGGGGCCAGGCAUUCUCCCAAGGCCUGGCAGACAGUAUAGGAAGCAGGAUCUGCUCCUGAAGAAGGGGAUGGCUCAAGACAGUGCUGCCGCCCAGACAAUGAGGAAGCCAGCUGGGAUAGCUAGAAACAAAGCACAGCACUUAAAUCUCAGCAUCAAGUGCUUAUCUAUGUCUUCAAUCUGUCACAUUUGGCUCCGACUCCUUUUUCUCAUGCAUCUAUUAGGGGAUGGAAACAAAUGUUUCAUUCAGCAAUAGCUUAGAAUCUCAUGCCCAUUAUAAAGAUAACCAUAAAUAAAUGAAAGCUAGAAGGCCAAAACUUGAUUUUUCUG